AAGACCUUGCGCUUUUGGAGCGGCCGAUGCCUGAUUAGCUUGUUGGUAAGGUAAAAGCUUACCAAGGCUUCGAUCAGUAGCUGGUCUGAGAGGACGGCCAGCCACACUGGGACUGAGACACAGCCCAGACUCCUACGGGAGGCAGCAGUGGGGAAUUUUGGACAAUGGGGGCAACCCUGAUCCAGCCAUGCCGCGUGAGUGAAGAAGGCCUUCGGGUUGUAAAGCUCUUUCAGCCGGAACGAAACGGUUACGGUUAAUACCCGUGAUUACUGACGGUACCGGAAGAAGAAGCACCGGCUAACUACGUGCCAGCAGCCGCGGUAAUACGUAGGGUGCGAGCGUUAAUCGGAAUUACUGGGCGUAAAGCGUGCGCAGGUGGUUUUGUAAGUCAGAUGUGAAAGCCCCGGGCUCAACCUGGGAACU
rnacentral:rRNA from 1 species